CAGCCGCCGCGGUAAUACGAAGGGGGCUAGCGUUGCUCGGAAUCACUGGGCGUAAAGCGCACGUAGGCGGCUUGGUAAGUUAGAGGUGAAAGCCCGGAGCUCAACUCCGGAAUUGCCUUUAAGACUGCCGAGCUAGUAGGUGAGAGAGGUAAGUGGAAUUCCGAGUGUAGAGGUGAAAUUCGUAGAUAUUCGGAAGAACACCAGUGGCGAAGGCGGUUCUCUGGGAAUUACCUGACGCUGAGGAGCGAAAGCGUGGGGAGCGAACAGGAUUAGAUACCCCUGUAGUCCCUGUCUCUUAUAC
rnacentral:rRNA from 1 species